rnacentral:misc_RNA from 1 species
CAUUGUGCACAUAUCCACUAGUCUACCAACUACCAUCAAUCUUCUCCAGCAUGUGACAACCACAAUUAACCUUUUAUUGUGUAGUUUCUCAUAUGAAAUUCCUAACAGAAAAAUUUGAAGUCCUUGUAGGUCCAAACAUUUUCAAUCUUUUUAUUGAAAGAAAAAUAAUAUAUCUCCAUGUGCCAGAAAAAGUUCCUAACUGAUUUUCAAUAUAGCAAUCAAACAACAAAAAAUAGCCAUUUUUUCAUAAAAAG